rnacentral:snoRNA from 1 species
UCCGAUGAUGACGGAUCAACCGGCCGAACGGUGACGACAUCGGUCUUGUCUGAGG